AACCUUGUGGCCUUUCUUGAAACCGCAAACUCUGAGAUAAUUGCCGUCAUUCUAGAUAUACAUGGCCUUUGCAAGAAGACUUUCAUCUGGGGGUAUCGCAUCACCAUCGGUAUGCUGCAAGCAGUAACAAUACCAUGAUAUAGACCCCCUGGGGCACGGGCACUGGAAACAUGUAAUUAUGCAUAUGAAUUUGCUUUUAUUCCA